GGCGUCGUGGCCGAGUGAUUAAGGCGGCGGUCUCAGAAGCUGCUGUGCUUUGCACGCGCGGGUUCGAGUCCCGCCGGCAUCG
rnacentral:tRNA from 1 species